rnacentral:rRNA from 1 species
AGGGUUCGAUUCUGGCUCAGGAUGAACGCUAGCGGCAGGCUUAACACAUGCAAGUCGAGGGGCAGCGUGGAGUAGCAAUACUCUGACGGCGACCGGCGAAAGGGUGAGUAACGCGUGAGCAACAUGCCCGAUACUGGAGGAUAGUCGAUGGAAACGUCGCGUAAUACUCCGUAACAUAGGGGACCGCAUGAUUCUCUAUUAAUAGAUUUAUCGGUAUCGGAUUGGCUCGCGUACCAUUAGCUAGUUGGCGGGUAACGGCCCACCAAGGCGACGAUGGUUAGGGGUUCUGAGAGGAAGGUCCCCCACAUUGGAACUGAGACACGGUCCAGACUCCUACGGGAGGCAGCAGUGAGGAAUAUUGGACAAUGGCCGAGAGGCUGAUCCAGCCAUGCCGCGUGCGGGAGGACGGCCCUAUGGGUUGUAAACCGCUUUUGUUGGGGAGCAAUAAGGGUCACGUGUGACCUGAUGAGAGUACCCAGCGAAUAAGCAUCGGCUAACUCCGUGCCAGCCGCCGC